GACCCCUAAACCCCUUCAUUUCUUUGUUUUGGCUAAGGUUGAAGAAACCCUAGCCUUCACUGCGUCUCCAUGGUCAAAUAUGGCAAUUGGCAGUGUACAACUUGCUUUGCAGCUCAAGUUCAAUCGAUUCGGGCAAAGAAAUUAAUGCUUUGCCCUCUCUCCACUAUUGUUCAACCCAAACACGGUAUAACCUCGUCCUUUACUUGCUUUUUCUGCCUUUUUUCUAUGGUCAAAGGACCAAUUCUUUAAUUAGUUUUGUUGUUUUACGAAUUUGAACUCAUGAUUUCUAUGCCAAAUUUGAGAGGGAUUCAAGAGGAUCCCCCCGCCCCCCCCACCCACCCCAAAAAAAAACCCCAAGUCCCAUAUCGAAUUUGGAUUAGGAUUUUUAGAUUUUUGGAGUUCUACAUAAAGAACCCCAUAUUUCACUUCAACACAUCCAUUAUUCACGAAUAUACACACAAAAGUCUCAUAAAUUCAGAGAAAAAUACACUUAGUAUACCUAGGGAUCUUGCAAGUUUGCUGGAACCUUUAAUUUACUAAGUUUUUAUGGUCUAAAGUUUUAUUUCUUUCUUUUGUUUUGUGGCUGAGUUCAUGUGGAGGAGAAGCAUUUCCAAUUCCAUUUUUGACAACAGGUUGCCCGAAGAAAAGAUUUGUGGGCUUGGGAGGAGAAUGUUAAGUAGUUAAGGAGACGUAAAGGUAGGCAGGGAGACGGAUCAGACCCCUAGGCUGCUUUAUCUGCGAUUUCUUAGGAGUGCUCCAUUUGUUCUGGAGCUACAGUUUAGCUGGUACUAUUCUUUUGUGUAUAUAUGGGCAUGGCGGGGUCCUGUCCCGUCUUUAUGAUGUUAUGUACUCCAUGUAGAGGCUCGUAGGCAGAUGUAUAUGGUUAGAUGUCCUAUAACCUCACCGGUUCAUGUUUUGUGUAUCAUUUUUGGCAGCCUUGUCGGCUUGUACAUAUGGGCAUAGUUGAUGAUGUUUAUA